rnacentral:rRNA from 1 species
GACGUGACUUCAGAGUUUGAUCCUGGCUCAGGACGAACGCUGGCGGCGUGCCUAACACAUGCAAGUCGAACGAAGCAUUUGGAGCUGAUCUCUUCGGAGUGACGCACCUUAUGACUUAGUGGCGGACGGGUGAGUAACACGUGAGCAACCUGCCUCUCAGAGUGGAAUAACAGUUGGAAACGGCUGCUAAUACCGCAUAACGUCAUAGUACCGCAUGAUACCUUGACCAAAGAUUUAUCGCUGAGAGAUGGGCUCGCGUCCGAUUAGGUAGAUGGUGGGGUAACGGCCUACCAUGCCGACGAUCGGUAGCCGGACUGAGAGGUUGAUCGGCCACAUUGGGACUCGAGACACGGCCCAG